rnacentral:rRNA from 1 species
UGCAGUCGAGCGCGAAUAGGGGCAACCCUUAGUAGAGCGGCGCACGGGUGCGUAACACGUGGAUAAUCUGCCUGAGUGCUCGGGAUAACCAGUCGAAAGAUUGGCUAAUACCGGAUAAGCCCACGGUUUCUUCGGAGACUGAGGGAAAAGGUGGCCUCUGUAUACAAGCUAUCACAUUCAGAUGAGUCCGCGGCCCAUCAGCUAGUUGGCGGGGUAAUGGCCCACCAAGGCGACGACGGGUAGCUGGUCUGAGAGGACGAUCAGCCACACUGGAACUGAGACACGGUCCAGACUCCUACGGGAGGCAGCAGUGGGGAAUUUUGCGCAAUGGGCGAAAGCCUGACGCAGCAACGCCGCGUGUGUGAUGAAGGUCUUUGGAUUGUAAAGCACUUUCGACCGGGAAGAAAACCCGUUGGCUAACAUCCAACGGCUUGACGGUACCGGGAGAAGAAGCACCGGCUAACUCUGUGCCAGCAGCCGCGGUAAUACAGAGGGUGCAAGCGUUGUUCGGAAUUAUUGGGCGUAAAGCGCGUGUAGGCGGCGUGACAAGUCGGGUGUGAAAGCCCUCAGCUCAACUGAGGAAGUGCGCCCGAAACUGUCGUGCUUGAGUGCCGGAGAGGGUGGCGGAAUUC